UUUUUAUUUGCAGAGACUAAAGUUUGAAUUUCAUUUAUUAAUAUUUUAAUCUAAAUAACAUAUAAGCAUUAGAAUUAAAAAUAGUAUUAAUAUAACAAAUGAAAAGUAAGUAAAAAGCAAAAUCUGAGUUUGAAGACAUUUUAAAGAGUGUAGGCGACAACUCUGAUUCUUCAGUUGGCAGGAGUCGCCCUCAAUGGAGUGGGUCCUGAAUAGCCAUCGCACUAUGAACCUUGUGAAUUGGACUGAAUUAUGGGUCAAUCCUUUACACACACCGAUCGAAUACCACAUCAACUUUGAAUUAUCAUUUUGACUUGUUCUGUUUUGUAGUCACGGAUGAGAAAAGAAAACAGGGGACAUGCUCGAAGACUUAGAAGAGUGGAACCACGACUUCAGGGAAAGACUUGCUACAUCUAUAAUAACGAUGACAUGAAUAACAAUUUUUGAAUGCCUUGUCCUAUGCUACUGUUAAGUCGGCUGCUGCUGCUACAACUACUACAGAUUAAUAUAAAACACACCCAAUUUCCAGAUUCAUGAAUUAGAAUUACUUGUAUUUAGUUUUUUUUUUUUUUUUUCCACUCCUUGUAGCUUCCUAGAAAUUAUAAUGGUAUAACGUAAAUGCCCAGCCAAGGUAUGAAAUUGAAAAAUAUGUGACCCCUUAGACUAUUCUUCUUCUAAACUUAUGAAUUAACAAAGACAUGGAAAUGUUAGACCUAUGAAGUUCAACUAGUUUCACAUCAAGCAGGAAUACAAGCAUUUCAUCAUUCCAAGUUUUUAUAUUGGCACGUGAAAUUGCACUCUCUCUCACUGUACAGAGGAAGAUGCUUCUACCUUUUUAAAUUAAACCUGACAACUUCAGUACGAGGACAUUUCAUAUCAACCAAACAAGUAACUUCAUUUUCAAUCAUUAUAUUCGUACUGUUCUACUGGAAAUUAAACUCAAGGGUAAAGAGCCGUACGUGCAGAGACCAAGUAAAGUACUUAUCUCUUUCAAUUUCUAAACCACAGUAAUCAAUCAGGCAGGUGCAGAUUGGAACAGAGCUGCACUUUUUUUUGUGGUUUUCAAUUCUAACGACUGCUGAACCUCAAUCUUCCUAAGACACAAAGAAUUCUUGAUAAAAGACAAGAUUAAAUUCUUGUUUUGCCCUAUAUCUGAACCCCAUCUUAUCCUAAGUUUGUUUGGCAAACAACUGUUGAGUUUAAGUUUCCAUGUAAGCCAAUGUCUUCCUUUGUCUUUGAUUAAAAGAAAAAAAAAAUGUCUUCCUUUGUCAUGCUAUAACACAUUUUACAUGGAAAAUGCAAGCACACAUCAAUGAUGAAUGGAAAAGAGACAAACUUGUAACUAAAAAAGAAGUAAAAAGCCCCAAUAAAACAAGCAGAAGAGAUGCAAUAGAAAGCUACGCUCCUGAUUACUGCCACUUUUGCCAUCUUAAAUCUGUGAGAAAAUUGAUAAUGACAAUCAUUUACCAAAGUUUAUUCUUAGCCAUACCUAGACCCUUACACUAGAUCAUAGGUUGUAUAUGGCAGAUCUAGCGAACGAUAUCACCUUGUUUAAUGCGCGUGUGAGAUUCAUAUGGUAGCCACAUGUAACAUCAUUAUAUACUGAAGCAUAUUGUGCCACUUCCCUGAGACAAUUUUUCACCUUGGGUAGAAACAUUACCACAAUCAACAGUUUAUAUCUACAGUGAAAAGUGGCCACUUCAUACAACUUAAAAAGUUCUCUCACCAUAUUUGCAGGGAAGGGGUGUUGGAUCAUCGUCCUUUCAGACGCAAGCUCAUGCCAGGUCCAAAGUACAUUGGUGAAAAGUGAAAACACCAAAAUCUGCAUCUCCAAUAUAAUGAAGACAAAAACACAAGACAAUUUAGGGACAUGGAUAAAUGAUAAGUUUUAAUUUAUUUAACUGUAGGAUUUAUUCUUGGCAUUAGCCCAUCAAGGAGGCACAAGAAAUUGUCAUUACUUUCUAUCAAAUCAUAAUACUCAAGUGGAGAUUAAAAAACACAAUAUAAUUUAGAUUCUCUCUAUUGCAUUUUUGGACAUUUCUGCAAUCCAUACUUAACCCGUGAGGACAACAGUUAAGACCAUUCAAUUUCUAUCAACAGCUACUUCCCAAAAGACCCUCCAAAAGUUCCAAAAUUUGUCCUAGAGAUAGACACAAUCUAAUUGCUGAUGCCUUGAAGAGAAUACCAAUAAAAUGCCGGUGCAAUCUCCCCACAAAUUCUACCUAAAAAAUUUCAACAAACAAGGUUCUUUCUUUUUUAAUUUUAGCACACCCAUCAUUGUCAAACCUGAACCAGCUGGUUAGACCAGUUUAACCAGUGACCAGAGCAUGAGCCAGUUCGGUCUGCUUUCUAAACUUUUCACUCUAAACCUAGGCACACGUGUAAACCUGAUCCGUUUUAAAGCCAGUGCUCAUGUAGGGUGAAAUGGCAGCUUGCAAAAUUUAGUCAUUGACACAUCAUCCCAUUUAAAAAUUUUUUAAUGUAGUUACUGGUGUAGGGAAUCAAACUUGCAUCACAAAAGAUUAGCUUUAAAGCAAAUUGCCAUUCAAUACAUUAGAACUUUACAUAUUUUUCUUCAAGAUUAUAUAUAGCUUUCUCAUACAAUUUUUUCAAAAAUUAAAUUAUAUCUAUUAAAUUACUAUGUAUAAAAUAUUUCAAAAUUAUUUCUUCUAUUAUAACCAUUUCUUCUAUUA
rnacentral:misc_RNA from 1 species